rnacentral:lncRNA from 1 species
AUGGAGGAGGGGAGGCAGAGAGCUUCGGCACACCCCAGCACCACUGAAACUGUUCAUCAGCCCGCUCUGCAGUCUACUGCAGAGUUUGCUUUAUUAAAGCUCCCCGCUGCCUGCACACGUUCACUGGCACAGACAUCGGGAGACAAGCAAACACUUACCCGAGUGCAGAGUACUCGCUGCUGCAUUGCAGGGUUUGCUGGCACAAAGCGAUGGGGGACUCAGCUGAGCAGGAAAGGUCUCUCUUGGAUCCGAAGUUUGCCUUGGGAUCACAGGUUGCCAAAGGAAGGUGGUUCAAAACACAGAAGACACAAGUCCCUUGGAUUUGACAAUUUGAAAUGCUAAAUAAAAGCAAAGUGACUGGCUGCUUUAACAAGAGUGCAUAUGACCUGUAAAACUGGUAAAGUCCUUCAGCACUUGAGAAAACCCUACUGGGUCAAAUCAUAAGUUUCCAGCUUCAUUCAAACUGAACCUAACUCUGUACCACUGCCCUUGUUCUGGCUAGGACAGAACCCACAGUCUGCAGCAACCCAUCCAUCUCUGCUCACACCUAAUGAGCUAUUUAAUUAGAGCAGCAGAGGGGAAACUCUGCUGUUUGGUCUCCCUUUCCCUCAGGUGCCUGACAGUGCUCUAGGAAGGACUUCAGUUCAUCACAAAGCUCUCAGAGCCACUGAACCUUCGUGGUGACCCACAGCAGGUUCAAGGUGAAGGUAUUCCCUGCUGGGGCCUUUCUGAGAUAACUGACCUUGUCACCACCACGAAGCUCUGCCCUGGGUCACACCUCUCACACCUCAGCCAAUUACCUUAGCUGAAGCUGGGGACUAACGCCUGGUUGUUUAAUUUGGAAGAGCAAUUUGAAGGUCACCAGGAAGGUAAUACAGUCCUGGUGACUGAACAUGUGGAUAAGGGCACCACAAAAACAUAAUCUACUUUGUUGAGGAUAUGAUAAACCAGGUUUAUGUGUGUGGUUGGCAAGCAGUAGUUCUGAGUGUUACUCCAUCAGAUAAUCCAGACAGCAGAGCAACUAUAUAUCCCUCUGCUCUGCUAAUAUGGUUUUAAUCUAAGGAUUAGGUCAUUUUCAUAUUUGUAGGGUUUUCUAAAACAGAAUUAGAGGUAACUUCUAUUUAUUUCCUAUCUGAUUUCCUGAAUUAUUUAUUUUUUAUUUAUGAAAUAAUAUUUAUUUCUGUAAUCAGGCAAAGGUAAUCAAAGGGGAAGAUCUCUCAUAUUCCAAAGGACAAAACCUCAGUCGAACAAGACAAUGCAGACAUUUGGUUGUCCAGGGCCAGCCUCUACUAAGAUUUCCCUUGACGUGCCCUCCUUUUCCACCUGGAAUAAGAUGUCCAGAAAUCCCAGAUGUCUAACUGCUGUUUGCAGACAGACACCGAGCAGCUUCACUGAGCACAUUCAGAUAGCUGAGGUGUCCCUCACGUGAGACAUACAUGCAUGAGGCCCAAGUGGCCUGUGGAUGUGCAGUAAAUUUGCUGUAAAGGUCUACCCAGCCCAGAUAUCACGGCACCAGGAAGUUUGUGUCUCUUCUCAGGAGUCCUGCCCGACACUUGCAUGCCCCUUUCUGACAGAGGCUGCUGGGCUCACAGCUCUGGGCCAGGCCGUGUUGUGAGGGGGAAGGAAGGAAGUGGUUGUGUUUUUCGAGCGUGAUUGAUGUGAUCCAGAGGAAGCUUCUGUGCAUGGAGGCUGCAGAUUCAUUGUGCUGCCAGUCUGCGGCCUCAGGCAGGCCUGUUUUUAUAGCUCCUGGGGUCUGGUUGCUGCGUCAAAGCAGCUAUGGGGUGUGCACAGUUCAGCUGCUAGGCAGAGGGACACCCUUCUGGCUGAGGAACAUCCUGUCUGUGCAUAUUUUUGCCAUCAGGUGUGAAGUGAUUCAGUGCUGAAUUCUCACAGGUACUCUGGGAACUCCACAUCCUUCUUGAAAACAAAGGGCCCAGGGAGAAAUGUUGCUCGUGCUGCACCACUGCGGGUGUGGGAGAGGGUGAUGGCGGAUCAGGCAGCAAGGGCCAGAGAGCCUGUCACAGGUCAAAUGGAAAAUCAUUUAAAGAAUGCUUGGUCUCCUUUUCUCUUGUUUCUCUAGAGAGAAAGUUUUCUCUCUAUAUUUCCUCCUGUUACUCGUCAGAGUCCUGUUUCAUUUGUUUACCUCUUGCAUUUUACAAAAUACCAUCUGAAGGGACUUGGAGGCUCCAUGUCAACAAAGGUCAUAAGCAUACACCUGACUGCAAGUGUAAAAGGUCAGAUGGUUCUUGUGCUUAAGGACAGAAGCAUCUGUCUGGUGUGAGGGAGCCACUAGCCAAGGCACUGCGACUGCCCAGUUUGUCAGCUUCGCCUCCUCUUCUCUCCCUGGCACUGGGGUGUUCACACCACAGCCCAAGGAAAGGUUUCUAAUUACAUAGGGACUUCUCUGGGGAUGGUAAAGGUCCAGAGAGCAUGUUUGGGCAGGGCUCAGCACCAUGAAGCCCCAGGACUGACAAAGACCUUCAGCCUUCAGCUUUUAUCCCAGAUAAUGGCUGUGUCCUCUUUCUCUGUCCCCCUCAUUGAAUCUCUCCUAUCUUUUUUUGUUCUGAGAACAAAACAAAACAAAAAAAGCCACCACCACUACCACAACAACUAAAAAACAACUUGCAAUAUGAGGACUGAUGAGCUUAGUUUUCUCUAACCCAGAAAGGCAAGUAUGAAUGCCAAUGAAGAGGGUACCAGCGAGGUCUUUUCCAGAAUAGUGUGAUGUCUGUUCAUCCCACACUACAGAGGGAUUGACUCCAAAAGGAACAAAUGCAGAGCCCUUCUGGAGGUUGGACAAACUACGUGACAAGAGAUGAGAAUGUGACUUCCUACCUGGCAAUGUGAAAGGGUAAGAAUGAACUCUUGCUGUCUUUAGAUAUGGAUUCACCACAAUUCUAAACCAAUCAAUAUCCUAGCUGUUAGCACCAUUUUAUGUAUGUAUGUAUUUAUUUAUUUAUUUAUUUUUGACCUUUCUCUUCCUGUGCUCCAUAUUUUUCCUUCGGCCAAUGCUAGGAUAACUGUGGGAUCAGGCAGGGAUAUUUUCUGAGUUAAUUUUCAGCAAGGUGAGCUUUACAGACUGGCUGACCAUCAGGUCAGCAGCAACACAAGCACUAGCAGUAGCACUGGUCAGCAGCAGCACUGGUGGAUCACGGAGGAGGCAGCGUGACCAUGAUAUCACGGGCAGAGAUGCAGGAUGGGCCCAUGCCACUGGGUGGAGGCAGGUGAGGGAAUGCCUGCUUGGCAGCAGCUCACACAUAGGAUCAACUUAAGCUAAGCAGGAAACCAGAACUGAGAGGUUAACAUUGUCGAGGGAGAACUAUUUAAGCUACGGUACAAGGCUGGCACAAGAACAGAUGGACAUAUGGCUAUGAAUAAAAUUAGGCUGGAAAUUAAAAGGCUUCUAGCC